CCCCAUGUUGUUUAAUCUCCAGCUAUUGUGGACUCCCAGGAGUGAGGAGCCAGUCAUGCAGACGCCAAUUUUCCCCUUGCUUCUUCUAUCUGCUUUGCCUCCUCUCUCUCUCUCUCUCUCUCUCUCCUUUGCAUGCAGACAUGCACACCUCAGGGGAAGGACUCCAUUUGCCUUCCCAAGCACCACCUCUCAUUCUCAUUCUUCCGUGGCGUGGAGCAAAUUGGAGCAAGUAGGAGUGUAAGCCUUCCAGACAGCAAUAACGUGGUAGCAUCAGGGAAGCAUUGCAGAGCAAACUUAAGCAGAAUAAAUCCACCACUGAUGCACUGUUAUUGUGUCACAAACGUGUCGCAGAAUGCACCCACAAUAAAACACCAGUCUGGAGGGGCCCUACGACAUCAGCUGCUUUUAGAUAUGACAAUUUAAGUGGGAAAUAGCCUGUUUUAAAGUCGGUGUUUGCUUCUGGAAAAUUCUUCCUAAGACAUUAUCCUCUUAGAAGAAAAUAGGCCUUGUUUAAGUCUGACACAAAGCAUAUGUAGCAAGUAUUAUGGGCCUUGUCUCAUGACACAUGAGGAAUGUCUCUCAGCAUUGAAAAUUAAGUCAACAACAGCAAUAAGUGUGAAGCCCUUAAGCCUUAAAGCCAAGAAUGUGUUAAGCCUCUCUCAAGAUGAAGAUGUCAUCAUCUCUUCCUUGUGAUUUCGAUCUUGUGAAGAUUUAUUCAGAUUGACUUGAGGAAGAAAUCGCUUCAUCUUCCUUAGUAGGAUCUCAAACAGAAAACAAGAAGUAAAGGGAAGAGAAAUGCCAGUAAGGAAAGCCUACAAAUAUGUUGUUAAAAACUAAUUCUCUCCCCUAGUGUGUCCCAGAUGUUCCAUCACUGACAUUUUUAUUUGUUCUCUUCCUGGGAAAGUUAUUUAAUGAAAAGAAUAAAGAUACUGUGUGAUUAAACUGCUAAACUAAAGAAAAUGGA